rnacentral:rRNA from 1 species
GACGAACCGUGCGAACGUUGUUCGGAAUCACUGGGCUUAAAGGGCGCGUAGGCGGGCUGCCAAGUCCGUGGUGAAAUCCCCCGGCUCAACCGGGGAACGGCCUCGGAUACUGGCGGCCUGGAGGCGGGUAGGGGCAAGCGGAACUGUGGGUGGAGCGGUGAAAUGCGUUGAGAUCCACAGGAACUCCGGUGGCGAAGGCGGCUUGCUGGACCCGAUCUGACGCUGAGGCGCGAAAGCCAGGGGAGCGAACGGG